rnacentral:rRNA from 1 species
UACAGAGGUCUCAAGCGUUGUUCGGAUUCAUUGGGCGUAAAGGGUGCGUAGGUGGUGAUGCAAGUCUGGUGUGAAAUCUCGGAGCUUAACUCCGAAAUUGCACCGGAUACUGCGUUGCUCGAGGACUGUAGAGGAGAGCGGAAUUCACGGUGUAGCAGUGAAAUGCGCAGAUAUCAGGAGGAACACCGGUGGCGAAGGCGGGUCUCUGGGCCGAUACUGACGCUGAGGAGCGAAAGCGUGGGGAGCAAACAGG